rnacentral:tRNA from 1 species
ACCCCUGUAGCUCAAUGGAAAGAGCCCAAUCCUGACUCAAUUGGAGAUGCGGGUUCGAUUCCCGCCAGGGGUU